GUCGUCGGACAUUCUUAACUCACAUCUGGCGGAGCGAUUGGGGAGGCGUCAGCGUGGGCGGUGGUGCGUCUGCCAUGGAUCUGAGAAGGCCGAUAGACGGACAGGGAUUCUGCCUCAUCAUGUGGGCCGUCACCGCCGUGGUCUUCGAGCCGAUCAGGCAUGGCCCGAGGCCCGGCGCCGGCCCUGCCUCCGUCAGCUCGUCCCUCCUCGCCUUCCUCGUCUUCCUCACCGGCGUGUGGCUUGUCAUCCUGGGCUUGGUUCGGUCCGACUUCCGCCGAGGCCACCCACAGGAAGUUGCCGCCACCCCCGGGGGUAUCAUUCCGGGCGCUGAGGACAACGGGAAUCGAUGCGCGAAGGAUUCCCCCGACCCCGGGUCGCCUCUUCGGUGAUCGAGGUGGGUAGUAAAACCCGUCGGCCGGCUUGUGCUUUCCAGAGUUGGGAAGAAGUUGUGGCCUGGUGCACUUGCAACCAGUGACCGAACCUAUCGCGACGGUCAAUGGUCAAAGUCAACGGUCACGACCCAUGGCAGCGCUAUUUGGAACCUCCAAAAGAUAAGGCUACGAGAUCGUACUGUAUGCCGAUCUCAAUCGCUCUACUAUUCCCUCGUCAAGGUGAUUUUGGGCCACGAUUUUGGACCACAAAUACAAGGAGUCACAUGAAGAAAUCAAAUCAAAUUGGAUUGAGCACUAUAAUCAAAGAAAAUUGACCCGAUGGGUCGCACGUGUGAAUCUGAUUUUAGCCAAAAGCCAAAAUCACAAUGGUUGUCUCACCGCUUGCAUUCAUAGUCCAAUCGUGGAGUUCUAUGUCAUUGCCUAGUUGAAUCGUUAGAGAUUCGAGAAGAUUGUGAUCUCA